rnacentral:lncRNA from 1 species
AAAACAAAAAUAUGGAUAGGCUCGGAAUUCGAGGGCGGUCAGACUGUCCUGGAGGAAGUUUUUGAAAUUCUGGCCGGAAAAGUCACUGUAGUUGCCGGAAAAAAUAAAAGUUGUCGGAAUCGAACAAAAAUAGGAUGGGUAGGGUCGGAAUUAGAUUCCGACCAAACUGUCCUGAAGGAGUCACCGGAAAAUCUGGCCGGAAAGGGUGUCACGCGCCGGCGCGUGGGCUUACGCUCCUAGGGUUCUGGUGGCGCGUGGGGGCGCGUGUGGCAGAUUUGGCCGGAGAAAUUUCUGGGGUUUUGGCGUCGGACAGAGGCGAGUCUUUUGGUAUUGCUGGAUUUUGCACAGCACUGACCGAGACUGAUUUUACUUGAAAAAGUCGUCGGAAAAGGGUUCCGAUGACUGAUUUUACUUCCCGGAAUCGCUGGAAUUUAUGCACAGCGACUGAAAAGGGUUCCGAUGACUAAUUUUACUUCCCGGAAUCGCUGGAAUUUAUGCACAGCGAUAAAUUUCUCACGAU